AGACCGUCCCGCUCCUCCUCUAGCAGGGCGCCCGCAUUCCGGCCCGGCCGGCUCCGGGAGCGAGCCGCACAGCCCCACACCUCCCCGGACCCGGAGCCGAGCUGCAGCGGACGCCCCCGCGCACACUACCACGUCUGAUCCCGCAUUUCUAGUGUCUGCUGAAGCCAAUGUCCGGAUCAGCCUCUGGGCCACCGGCCCCAACGGCUGACAAUCAGUGCAGAACGAUUUUAAGAGAUUUUAAGAGGCGGUGGCGGCCAAUCCAAGUCAUUCCCCCCCACCCCGCCCUGGGCCUCCUAGAAGUCAGGGAAGCCCCUUGCGAACAGGAAACAGUCUCCAAGAAACUCCCCGCCGGAGGACGACCUAACCACUCAGCCUAGCUGGCCAAAUAUUUACAAAGAGAUAGCUGUGGCCGCACAAAGCCCUUUUCUUCUGCUCCGCGGCCGAAAAUCUGGGCCCCGCGUGGAGACCGAGCUCCUGCCGCCCCUCUCCCAGGGACCCGGAGCUGUCCCGCCGGCCGGGGAGCAGGGACUGCCCCCCCCGCCGGGAGGCGCCGCUCUUGCCCCGCCGCCGCACCCUCGGAGGGCCGCCGGACGGCCACACCACCUGAGGCCCCCCACCACCGGUGCGAGGUUGCAAGGAACAAAGGGAGCGGAGGACUCACCCCAGCAGCUGAGUCGGCCUGCGCUGGCCGCCUGAGAGCACGGCCCGCCCACCGGGUCACAUGGCUCCGAGCCGAGCAGAGGAUCAAAGGGGCUUUGUGGCCGCGGAACAAGGAGCCUCCCAGAGCGCGGGCAGAGGUUUUAUUUAUUUAAGUAAUUUCUACCCCGAGAUCAAGAGUUGCGUGCUCUCCCGACGGAGCCCGCCCGGCACCGCUGCUGGUCGAGGCACACUUCAAGUGGUCAGCCGCUGCUGUGGCUAGCGCUCGGAGCAGCUGUCUGGAUAUUCUCGACCGUACCCUGGGGUGACACCAGAUCCUAGGGGAGCGGUGUAGCCCCCGUUAUUUCAGCGCUACGCUUCCUUCUCAGCCGUGGAUGUGCACAUUUGGGGGUGCUACAGGACACAGCCUCUUGGAACCCACAGCAGCAUCUGCUAUAUCGUGGAGGCCGCUGAUCCCCACAUCAGAGCGUCCCCCUUCUCGGGAUGUAUUGGAGACAUUUCUCCCAGAUUCUACUAUCAGAAAGAGCAGUACUUCUCCAAAGAAGAUACUCUGCUAGAUUUGUGCUAAGCACCAACGAGACCACCACCCGUUUCUGGGGUUCUCUAUCCUAUGUGCUCACAGGUGCUCAGGCCGGGGUGAGCUCCUGACUCAAAGGCAGCCAGCCACAGGCUGAGCAGCGACCCAACCGCACGCCUGGCUCAAACAAGCGAUGAGCUGGGCCGCCGCCGUCUCCCCCCCGCAGCCCAGACGGAGGAACCUUUGUAGUUGAGGGUCCAGAAGCUUGAGGUCAUGCAGACUUCAGGGCUGGGAAGUUGUCUGGGGCCAUUUGCAAAGGGAGAGAGGGCAGCAUGGGGGGACGCGCAGGCGGAGACCCCAAGAAAGGAGCAAGGGGGAGCAGCGCGUGGCUGGCGGGGCUACUGCAAACCCCGCCCUUUCUGAGCCCAAGCAUUCCACACUCCGACUUCAAUGCGUGUUACGUCCUUCCAAUCACCAACUUGUCCUGCCUGUUUACUGACUUCAAAGUCACAUACAGCCACACUGACUGGAAAGGAAUCUAUGAAGACAGAAGGCAGACUGGGGGUUGCCAAAACCAGGGUGUGGGGGUGGGGGCGGUGGGAACUGACCGCUUAAUGGACAUGGGGUUUCCUUUUGAGGGGAUGGGAAUGUUCUGGAACUAGAUCAUGGUGAUGCUGCCCAAGCCUGUGAAUGUGCUAAGUGUUGUUAAUGGUAAAUUUCAUGUUCUGGGUAUUUGAUACAGUAAAAAAUUUAUUUAAAGGAAAAA